CAGGCCUAACACAUGCAAGUCGAGCGGUAACAGAGAUAGCUUGCUAUCUGCUGACGAGCGGCGGACGGGUGAGUAACGCGUAGGAAUCUACCUAGUAGUGGGGGACAACAGUUGGAAACGACUGCUAAUACCGCAUACGCCCUACGGGGGAAAGCAGGGGAUCUUCGGACCUUGCGCUAUUAGAUGAGCCUGCGUUGGAUUAGCUAGUUGGUGGGGUAAUGGCCUACCAAGGCGACGAUCCGUAGCUGGUCUGAGAGGAUGAUCAGCCACACUGGGACUGAGACACGGCCCAGACUCCUACGGGAGGCAGCAGUGGGGAAUAUUGCACAAUGGGCGAAAGCCUGAUGCAGCCAUGCCGCGUGUGUGAAGAAGGCUCUAGGGUUGUAAAGCACUUUCAGAAGGGAGGAAAGGUUGUCCGUUAAUACCUG
rnacentral:rRNA from 1 species